GUGGCAUUUCAAGUGAGACCUGGACGGUGCAAAGCAGCCAGCUCUGACAAUGCUGAGGUCAGAACAUUCUGGACAGAGAGCACAGCGAGUCCGAAGAGCCUGAGGCCAGAAAACCCAGAAAACAGUGUUGCUCAAGUCACUGGCGAGAGGGAGGUAGGCUGGAGCAUCUUGUCGGCUCAGGAAGGAGUUUGGAAGACGUGAGUGCGCUGGGUCCUGAGCAGGGGAGCGAAACCAUCAGAUGUACUGCUUUCAAAAGAUCGCUCUGGGGCUGAGGGUCAGGGGGGGAUGAGAGCUUCGAGACCCACCGACGGCUCUGGGCAACCAGGCAGUAGGUGGCAGUGGUUUGGGCCAGCGGGUGACCAGUGGCAAUGGAGAAAUCCAAAAAACCUUCUUUGGAGACAAAGCAGAUGGGACUUUCUGGUGGCUCUGAUUUGGAGAGUGAACAAUUUGGUGCCUAUAAGCCUGUUCUUGAGAGGGGCGUGGCUAUGGGUGAGGGGCGUCAAGGGUUCUGGUUUUCCAGGUGAAGCUGGGGCUAUUCACGAGCCUGCUGUGAGUCUUCAUGGAAGGAAGACAAGGAAGCAGCUUGUAGAAGAAACAGAGACCUCCAGAGGCCUGGCAGCAGAGCCACCGGACACCUGGCUUCCCUGUGGAGAGCACGAUCGGUCAGGUGUGCGGCUCUGGCGAGUCCUUCUCAAGGCCCAGACCGGACAGCUGCUCCCAGCCUUCUUCAGGCCCAAGCCCUCUAGGAAUCUGAUGAGACGUGCCUGUUCCAUAGGGAAGCGCACACCUACAGAUCUUCUCUGCAUCCGUUUGGGGGUCUUAGAACCCCUGAAACCCAUCCAUGGACUCCCAGCCAAGGGGCCCCCAGGUCGGUUAGCUGAACUAGGAGGGCCUACAGUGGACUCACCUAGGGGAAAGGUGUUAAGAGAAUUCACGUUGACCAGAGGCCUGGAAUGCAUGCGUGAUGGACACGUGUCAUCACUGACUGCCCAGCAUUUGACCUACCUUCCAAGGAUGAGAUACUUUCUACUUUCAAGGCAUCGGGGAUUUGAUAUGAUAUCUUGCAGUUUGGAAAUCUAUGGACAAAUGGGCUGCAUUCUCUCCCUGGGAUCCCUGACCCCCCGCCCCUCAAGGCUUCGGUCUGCCAGGUCAGCACCGCCCUCCUUGGGACCUCGACACUUCGGCCAGAGCAGCGACCCUAAAGGCUUCCUCCGCUCCUAGCUGAGAAGAGGGAGAGCGGCUCCUGGCUCUCCCCACGUUAAGGUCGCCCAGAGACCCCCGGCCUCGCUAGUU
rnacentral:lncRNA from 1 species